UACGAAGGGUGCAAACGUUGCUCGGAAUUAUUGGGCGUAAAGAGCUCGUAGGCGGUCUGUCGCGUCGGCUGUGAAAACCCGGGGCUCAACCCCGGGCCUGCAGUCGAUACGGGCAGACUAGAGUGCGGUAGGGGAGACUGGAAUUCCUGGUGUAGCGGUGAAAUGCGCAGAUAUCAGGAGGAACACCGGUGGCGAAGGCGGGUCUCUGGGCCGUAACUGACGCUGAGGAGCGAAAGCGUGGGGAGCGAGCAGG
rnacentral:rRNA from 1 species